ACGACGAGUAGGAAGGACGUGGCGGUUGCGUUGAAGGCUAUGAGCGUAGGCUCGGCUGGAGCUUCCGUCAGUGCAGAUCGUAAUGGUAGUAGCAAAUAUUCAAGUUCGAUCCUUGAAGACUGAAGUGGAGAAGGGUUCCACGUGAACAGUAGUUGGAUGUGGGUCAGUCGAUCCUAAGGUACUGGCGAAAGCCUUGUAUCAUCGGUGGCGAAAAGCUUGCUUUUUGUCCCCGCCCGUCGAAAGGGAAUAGGGUUAAUAUUCCCUAACUGAGAUGCAAAGAUUGUGUUCUUCGGAGCACAAGCGCGGUAACGCGUUCGAACUUGGUAAGUCGCUCAGAGACCGAGCUAGAGUUUUCUUCUCUAGUUAAGGAACGGACUCCCUGGAAUUGGUUCAGCCAGAGAUGGGGACGUUGUUUCCGAAAAGCACCGCGGUUUCUGUGGUGUCUCGUGCUCUCUGAACGGCCCUUUAAACACCAAGGGAGGCUAUUAAUUUGCACUCAAUCGUACCGAUAUCCGCAUUAGGUCUCCAAGGUGAACAGCCUCUAGUCGAUAGAAUAAUGUAGGUAAGGGAAGUCGGCAAACUAGAUCCGUAACUUCGGGAAAAGGAUUGGCUCCAGUGGUCGGAACGGUUGGCCAGUUGGUUGAUGCUUGUCCGGCGCUGUUCUGUCUGCUUGAUGCUUUCGGGCUGAUGGCGGCCUAGUGAUAGUGCUUGCUUGUUGACGCUUUCUGGUGUGUGCUUUGACCUCGGUCUUAGUAUCCUGAUCGUUCAUCUAAACGACUAAACUGGAACCGGUACGGACUCAGGGAAUCCGACUGUCUAAUUAAAACAGAGGUGACAGAUGGUCCUUGCGGACGCUGACUGUCACUGAUUUCUGCCCAGUGCUCUGAAUGUUAAAUCGUAGUAAUUCGAGUAAGCGCGGGUAAACGGCGGGAGUAACUAUGACUCUCUUAAGGUAGCCAAAUGCCUCGUCAUUUAAUUGUUGACGCGCAUGAAUGGAUUAACGAGAUUCCUACUGUCCCUAACUACUAUCUAGCGAAACCACAGCCAAGGGAACGGGCUUGGCAAAAAUAGCGGGGAAAGAAGACCCUGUUGAGCUUGACUCUAGUUUGACAUUGUGAAGAGUCAUGAGAGGUGUAGCAUAGGUGGGAGUCUUCGGACGCCAAUGAAAUACCACCACUUUCAUCGACUCUUUACUUAUUCGGUUAAAAGAGAAUUGGUCGCAAGGCCUCUUUUUCAAAUAUUAAGCGGAUCCAUUUUAUGGAACCGUGACUCUCCCCGAAGACAGUGUCAAGCGGGGAGUUUGACUGGG
rnacentral:ncRNA from 1 species